GAAGUUUUCGGAUGGAAUCUUGAUUGACUGAGUGGCGGACGGGUGAGUAACGCGUGGAUAACCUGCCUCACACUGGGGGAUAACAGUUAGAAAUAACUGCUAAUACCGCAUAAGCGCACAGUGCCGCAUGGCAGUGUGUGAAAAACUCCGGUGGUGUGAGAUGGAUCCGCGUCUGAUUAGCCAGUUGGCGGGGUAACGGCCCACCAAAGCGACGAUCAGUAGCCGACCUGAGAGGGUGACCGGCCACAUUGGGACUGAGACACGGCCCAAACUCCUACGGGAGGCAGCAGUGGGGAAUAUUGCACAAUGGGCGAAAGCCUGAUGCAGCGACGCCGCGUGAGUGAAGAAGUAUUUCGGUAUGUAAAGCUCUAUCAGCAGGGAAGAAAAUGACGGUACCUGACUAAGAAGCCCCGGCUAACUACGUGCCAGCAGCCGCGGUAAUACGUAGGGGGCAAGCGUUAUCCGGAUUUACUGGGUGUAAAGGGAGCGUAGACGGCGAAGCAAGUCUGAAGUGAAAACCCAGGGCUCAACCCCUGGGACUGCUUUGGAAACUGUUUUGCUAGAGUGUCGGAGAGGUAAGUGGAAUUCCUAGUGUAGCGGUGAAAUGCGUAGAUAUUAGGAGGAACACCAGUGGCGAAGGC
rnacentral:rRNA from 1 species